GAUGAACGCUAGCUACAGGCUUAACACAUGCAAGUCGAGGGGAAACGACAUCGAAAGCUUGCUUUUGAUGGGCGUCGACCGGCGCACGGGUGAGUAACGCGUAUCCAACCUGCCCAUCACUUGGGAAUAACCUUGCGAAAGUAAGACUAAUACCCAAUGAUAUCCCACGAAGGCAUCGGAAUGGGAUUAAAGAUUUAUCGGUGAUGGAUGGGGAUGCGUCUGAUUAGCUUGUUGGCGGGGUAACGGCCCACCAAGGCAACGAUCAGUAGGGGUUCUGAGAGGGAGGUCCCCCACAUUGGAACUGAGACACGGUCCAUACUCCUACGGGAGGCAGCAGUGAGGAAUAUUGGUCAUGGGGCGAGAGCCUGAGCCAGCCAAGUAGCGUGCAGGAAGACGGCCCUGUGGGUUGUAACCUGCUUUUAUAAGGGAAUAAAGUGGGUCACGUGUGACUUUUUGCAUGUACCUUAUGAAUAAGGACCGGCUAAUUCCGUG
rnacentral:rRNA from 1 species